ACCGGUGUGGCGGAAAUGGUAGACGCGGCCACUUGCCAAGUGGCUGACCUUUAUGGUCGUGGGGGUUCAAGUCCCCUUGCCGAAA
rnacentral:tRNA from 1 species